rnacentral:rRNA from 1 species
UACAGAGGGGGCGAGCGUUGUUCGGAAUUACUGGGCGUAAAGGGCGCGUAGGCGGCCUUCUAAGUCGAACGUGAAAUCCCCGGGCUCAACCCGGGAACUGCGUCCGAUACUGGGAGGCUUGAAUCCGGGAGAGGGAUGUGGAAUUCCAGGUGUAGCGGUGAAAUGCGCAGAUAUCGGGAGGAACACCAAUUGCGAAGGCGAGCUGGCUACACGAGCAUUGACACUCAGGCACGAAAGCGUGGGGAUCAAACAGG